rnacentral:rRNA from 1 species
CGCGUAGGUGGCUUGGUAAGCGUGUGGUGAAAGCUCGGGGCUCAACCCCGAGUCUGCCGUGCGAACUGCCGAGCUCGAGCAUAGUAGAGGCAGAUGGAAUUCCGGGUGUAGCGGUGGAAUGCGUAGAGAUCCGGAAGAACACCGGUGGCGAAGGCGGUCUGCUGGGCUAUAGCUGACACUGAGGCGCGACAGCGUGGGGAGCAAACAGGAUUAGAUACCCCCGUA